rnacentral:misc_RNA from 1 species
GGAUGCGUCCGGUUCACCGACGCA